CUGGCGGCGUGCCUAACACAUGCAAGUCGAACGAGAAAGUGGAGCAAUCCAUGAGUAAAGUGGCGACCGGGUGAGCAACACGUGACUAACCUACCUCCGAGUGGGGAAUAACUCCGGGAAACCGGGGCUAAUACCGCAUAACAUCGCAAGAUCAAAGCAGCAAUGCGCUUGGAGAGGGGGUCGCGGCUGAUUAGCUAGUUGGCGGGGUAACGGCCCACCAAGGCGAAGAUCGGUAUCCGGCCUGAGAGGGCGCACGGACACACUGGAACUGAAACACGGUCCAGACUCCUACGGGAGGCAGCAGUGGGGAAUUUUGCGCAAUGGGGGAAACCCUGACGCAGCAACGCCGCGUGGAGGAUGAAGCCCUUUGGGGCGUAAACUCCUUUCGACUCGGACGAUAAUGACGGUACGAGUGGAAGAAGCACCGGCUAACUCUGUGCCAGCAGCCGCGGUAAUACAGAGGGUGCAAGCGUUGUUCGGAAUUAUUGGGCGUAAAGGGCGCGUAGGCGGUGCGGUAAGUCACCUGUGAAAUCU
rnacentral:rRNA from 1 species